GGGCGGAGCAACUGCUAUGGUAGCCCACUGGGGUCUCACUCCAAGAUACCUGCAGAAUCCAGAUGCUACAGUGCUCCCCCAAAGCCAGCAAUCAAACAAAACUCGGGAAGUGGAAAGCGGUACAGUCCUGUGACAAGAGGUGAAGACAGAAGUGUGGCCUGCAGAGGGCACCACUUACAGCCAUCACAAGCUCAAAGACACAGUGCUUUCAGCAGACUGAGGGAGAAUAAAAGGCUGACCCCUGAAGAUCUGGAGAAGAAGCGAUAUCAAACCAUUGCAGAAUACCAGUUUAUAGCUCCAGGUAAGAAGUCCAUAUCCAAUAGGCAAGUGUCUUACAAGAAGUACGGUAGUUGAUUCUCAAUCAACAUGUAACUUUCUCUUCCCAUAUCAGACAAGCUUUUCUAACCAGCACAGCAGGCUGUAAUCAUCCUUAAAAGCUUUGCAACUAAGUGACAUUACUACAAUAUUCUUAGUGUUUCUUUA